GUUUAGUGCUGAUGCAAAGACAGGGGCUUGCAGUUUAUCUUCCCCAAAGGCACAGCGUGGUCAGGGUGCCAGCAUCCUGCUCGCUGUGCAGCCCUGGUCUCCGGCUGCCCGUGCGCCCACCCAGGGCAUCACCCACCAUGAAGGGUGCCUGGUACAGCCCCAGGAAGCAAAGAGAAGGGAAUCAAUCAUCCGAGGUGGUGCAUGGACGGGUUAACCUGUGGCUGUUUGGCAGUGUUACAGGUCAUUGAGAGGAGGAGGAGGCUCUCCUGCGAGCUGUGCUCCCAGCUGCCAUCCUGCAGGAUGCAAGGGGGAAGAGCACAGGACAAAGCUGCGUCAUGCACAUGGCAUGUUCUCAGGGCCAGGCUCCACCUGGAAGCUACCAUGAGUGUGGGUCUCUCUGCAUCUCUGGUCCUCCCCCAGCAUCUGAUGAGACCAGCAGCAAGAUGUGGAGGAGACACCGAGCUCAUACCUCUGAGAACAUCAGAUGAAAUCACGGGGAGCCUUUGUGCUGACCCCAUUUGGGCCCUUGGAGUAACAUUACAUCUCUUCAGUGUGGUUCCACCUGACAGAGCCUGGUGUAGGGCAUUCCUCAGCCUUUCUACUUGUUGUUGCUGAUUUCACCCAGGAAAAUGGAGAGGGAUCAUUCUCAGAGCCCAAACACAGCAUAUGGCCCAUAGUGCGCGGCUGUGAAUGGGGAAGGAAGAAGGAAGAAGGAAAACGCCAGCCCUCCCGUUGGUCCAGCUCCAGCACAGUGCCCAGAUUUAUCACUGUGCCCAGGAAAGCAAACAGAGAGCAAAAGACAAACAGACACCUUGAUUUACCAGUGAGAUUAAGAGUGUGUUGGCGGAACAAGAAAGUCUCUAUAAAAAAUGAAAGAAGAGCGGGCGGGUGGAAAAAGCAGUGAAGAUGAAACUCAGUGAGUUAUCUGGGGCAUGUAAGAAAACCAUCGGCCCAGCAAAAAUGUGAGAGGAGAGCACAGGAGGUGAAAACAGUGGGGAAAAACGAGGCAUUAUGUUUUAUUAAUUCUACUGUUUUACAUCUAAAUAGCAUCUCCUCGCGAAGAAGAUGGAGAGUGACACGCAUGCCUCUCUGUAUGAUGUGGUUACCCAAGUGGCCCUGAGUCUGGGUGUGGAGGCCAUCAGGUAGGGGACAAGCAGAUGUCCCCUUGUCUCAGGCUGUGGGGAUUCAGUUUUCUUCUGAGGACCACCCAAUGGUCCACAGCAAGCCCUUCCUGGGAAGCCCAGGUUGCCACCCGUUUUAUAGGGGCAGUGCAAGAGCCAUCCAUUAAACCUUGAAAAUACGCUGGGAAUGCAGGCUGUCUAACCUCAAAAAAUAAGAUUCGGCAUCAAAUGAUGGCUACAGAUCCCCGCAGCAGAAAAUUAAAUAGCUUAAAUUCUCUGCUGUGCCCUGCGGCAGAAACAGCUUUCUGUUCCCUCGUUUGGGAAGGAAGAGGAAAGGAAACUACUGCAGAUUGCUAAUCUUGGUCACAGAGCAGCAAUCAGACACUUCAAGUUGUGUCUGUUUUUGAAUCCUUGAGUGUGAAUGUUAAAAUAACCAAGUUAUUGCUGCAUUCGGAAUUGGCUGGAAAAAUUAAUGCAAGGCACGCUGUAUUUCC
rnacentral:lncRNA from 1 species